GUGUGUAUACCCAAGUGGUCAAGGGAACGGAUUGUGGCUCCGUUAUCAUGGGUUUGAAUCCCAUUACGCACCCCA
rnacentral:tRNA from 1 species